GUACAAUGGGUUGCGAUACUGUGAGGUGGAGCUAAUCCCAAAAAGCCGGUCUCAGUUCGGAUUGGGGUCUGCAACUCGACCCCAUGAAGUCGGAGUCGCUAGUAAUCGCAGAUCAGCAACGCUGCGGUGAAUACGUUCCCGGGCCUUGUACACACCGCCCGUCAAGUCACGAAAGUCGGUAACACCCGAAGCCGGUGGCCUAACCCUUGUGGGGGGAGCCGUCGAAGGUGGGACCAGCGAUUGGGACUAAGUCGUAACAAGGUAGCCGUAUCGGAAGGUGCGGCUGGAUCACCUCCUUUCUAAGGAG
rnacentral:rRNA from 1 species